UAAAGCCUCAGUUGGUAGAAUAUGAAACUCUUAAUCUCAGGGUUGUGGGUUUGAGCCCCGUGUUGGGAAAAA